AAAUUGAAGACUUAAAUCAAGUUCAAAAUGAAUGAUAUCCAUUUACCGAGCAGUAAUAAUAUUAUUUUACUUUUUUGUUGUCCAAUACUUUUUGCAGUCCGUACUGUACUUCUUAUUAAAUUAUUGCGCAAUCCCAUAAACUAGUAUAUCCAUUCCGCUGGAUAAAUCAAAUCAUAUUACCCUACGAUUUUCAAGAAAUAUUGCCAAAACCGGGGCACAAAUUAAACCGAUAUAAGCAACGCCCAACGAAGCAGGCCCUACUAAAACCUUGAUUUAACCCUUGGGGCACUCGAAGUGGAUCGGAACUGAAAUGAAACCAGCGAAAAAAGCCGAGAAACGAAGUGGUAAGCAAAACCAGCAGCUGAGUCCCUCAGGCGGCAGUUAAUCAACAGUUUUUAUGCAAAACUAAUAAAGCACACACCACAAAAAAAGAUCAGAAACCAGAACAGGGAAAUGAAAAGCGAGCAAGAACCCAGGCAGGCAAAAAAAAAAAAAAGAUGAAGAAAAGCCAAAACGCACACCUCAAGUCCCCCAAAACAAGUCAAUAUGAUCGAUCGUUUGCUUGAUUAAGCCUAAUUGAAAACGAAAAUGCAGAGAGCCAGAGAAUCGAAAGAACCCAAAGAGAGCACCUUCAUGCGAUCUCCGAUCCGAUAUGAUCCGAUCCGCAGUCAUGAUCGCCUGCUUGGUUCCUCGGUCGGUCCGGUUCGGUUGGAGCGGUUCGUUCGGUCAGUGGAAAUCCGUAAUCGGUGGAAACCCACCAGACGGGCCCCACAACUUACUACAAGAAUUUUGAAAUCAAAACAAAAACGUAAAAGAUCAACGCACAAAAAGAGCGCGCCACUGAAUUUUGGCGGGAGACUACUGUACCGCUGGAUCGGCGAGAAUCAGUUGAACAAAACAAACCGAUAAAACCAGAGGAGGAGCCUGUAGUAGGCGUAGUCACUGUGCUGGUGUUGGUGUGGCGUGUGUAGAAGAUCGAGAAGAACAACAAAAUCAAAAAAAACUGGUCAACUUAAUCAAAGAGCGGAGAAUCCAGAAGAUUUGCUGCUCACAGAUCUCCAAAGAGCACGGCAUUUUCACCGAAAUGCAGUUUUACAUCGACGAAGAGACGCAAAGAGCAGCAAAGAGACUGGGCGACCAGUGUUGCCGUGCAGCAGGUGCGAAAUCAGAGAGCCAGAUAUCAAAACAAAUUUCAAGCUGCCACGAAAUACUGCUAUCACGAGGAACUUGGCUUUGGAAUUAUUUAUCUUGGAUAUAUGUAAAUAAAUAUAUUUAGGAAGAUCUAAACUUAGGGUUAUCAAAUGUCUACCAAAGAACUAAGACUAGAUACAUAUUAGAAGACAUUUAAAGAUUAAAAAUAUAAGCAUAAUCUUUAUGUGAAUAAUAACAAGUAAUUGAUACAAAUAUCCGUUAUUUGAAUGCAAGUGUUGGAUAAUACAAAUAUUGCCUGCUCGAUUUCACGAACCUUCAACAACUAUCCGCGUUCGGGCAAUUAAGAAACCCUUAAUUAAUGGUCAAUUAAGUACCUUCAACACAUGUGUCAGUUGAUAAGGAACUUUGGUGGAGGAACCUUACCACGGCCACAAUUUUCCGCAACUGAGGCGACCAGAGUCUCCCUACCGGUUUUUUCAUUUGGUCGCUUCUCCCCUUUUUUUUUUUGUCAACGAGAAAAAAGCGCGCCAAAACGAUGCUCCUACUGGGGAUUUAUAGUCCUUCCUAUGCUGGGUGCCAUAAAACCUGAAAAAGGACUGAGCGGCGUGCGGACAAGGUGGAAUAAAGAAAAGGCUGCGUUUCCACUGGGAGAGUGUAAUAACCCCAAACGGACCCUCGAUCCGUCUCCCUUUCUCUUUCUCGCCGUGUCUCUUUCUGGCUGAAUUAAUUUCACAGCAGAAGCGGAAAGGAGAAGGCCGACGAAGAAGGGAAUAGCCGAAAGGAGGAGAACGAGAAGAAAACCAGGCAACGUUACUUGUUUCUUGAAGGGUCCACACGAUCGCCCCACGACGUCAAUUUGCAAGUUCUUCUUGGAGCCACAGAAACUCAGGCUGCAACUGCGAGGAACCCUCUGAUUCGCAGCAGAGAGGGUCGAUCGAAAGGUACUCGGUGAUGGGAAUAGCUUGAAGGUCCUUAAUUCCCUUGAUGAUAUACAUUUUAUAAUAUAAAUAAUAUAAUUUAUAAUUUUAUAAUAUAAUUUUAUAUAUAUAAUAUUAUAUAUUAUUGUUACAAAACUUUUGAAACUACGUAGCCAGAAAAAAAUAUAUAAAAUUUAAAUUUUUUCAAAUAAAGAAGGUAUAAGUGUAGAAAAGUUAUGUCUUUAAGAGCAUAUGUUAUACAUAAAUAGUUUUCGGAACUAGUUUGAAUCGUUAUGAAUACCGUUCUGGAAAUCAAUCCUCCCAAUCGCCAUGAAGAGUUCAAUGGACCCUCGCAAAGUGCGCAACAUUUUGCGGACCGGGUUUGUAGUAGCACACACACACUCGCACAAAAGGUGGACAGGAGGGAUGGAGCAAUCCGAGGAGCGAGCAAUCUUCUGUUUACCCUGCCACAGUCUUUCCUCAUGAUCCUCCACUUCGUGCCUUUUAAUGCCUUUAAUCCUAGCAAAUAAUACAAAGGAGAGAACUCUAGGACAAGUGUAUGGAGGAAUACGAAAAGGCUGAAAAGUGGGGAGAACAUAAUAUACACCGCUAGAAAUCCAGGACUUUUCAAAAUUCAACAACACUACACUAAAGAAUAAACUUUAAACGAUUUUUAAAUGUACCUAUGUAUAUAAAUAGGUACAUAUAUAUAUAUAUAUGGGUUUGAAGGACCAUAUCAAUGCGUAAAAAACUGUGCUACAAUAUAUUUAAUAUAUCCAAUGGCGACUGUCGGUGGCUUGGGGACUCGACCUGGGACGUGUCUCUGUUUCUGUCCCUGGCAUAAAACAGAAAGUGUGCAACACACGCUCUUGAAGCCAAGCAAACGACUGCGGACGACCGGGCGGGAGGAUCACCAUCGCCCGGAGGGGAGGCGGCCAGACCCAUGUGGUUGUGGUUCCAACUACGAUUGCAGUGAACUUCUAGCCCAGAGUCAUUGAACUUGUCCUGGGGACUGGAGUGACUCUGGCUGCGACUGCGGCUCUACCACGAUAUCAACACUGGGAUCGUCAUGAUUGUCUUCGGCCACCAGUAUGGUACGUCAUGAUGAGCGUGGUUCGUGGCGCACACAGAGCAGUGGCUUUGUCCCCAGCUGUACCAGUACCACACAGAACCGCACUCUGAAUCCCACUUCUCCAACUUCUAAUCCGACUCCUUCGUAGACAUAAUGAACUUGGGUUUUGGGGCUCGUACGUACUGCGUACGCAAUUCUCAAAUCGUGUUUGCGCCUCCUGAGAUCGUGGAGCCCCUCUCUUGCCACUGCGAUGGGAUCUAGCUGGAUGAGUUGAAACUACUCUUAAAGAGGAACUAGAACUUUAUCAAAACUUCCUAAGAUGUUCAUGCCAAAAGACCUGUCGAUUAGCAGGUUGUCCUAUUUUCUAACAUUUUCGAUUGAUAUAAAAUGUUCAGAUAAAUAUUAAAAACGAAUUCAAAAGGUGAAACACCCUGAUUUAAUUUCCCAGUGCAUUCGGAGAUUCGCUUAGAAAAGGCACCCGUUCUUUCUGGUUUUCUAUUUGAUUUGGCAACACGCUGCCUUUACGGCCCAUUGUCGUUUGCAUGGGGAUAUAUCCAAAAAGGCACGGGUAUGGGUGCAUAUAUAUAUAUAUACAUAUGAUAAUGAUGUUGGUGAUCGUGCCACUUUAGCAAUGGCUAAGCUACGUAGAUCGGGCCGAAAGCCAGACCCCUGGGAUGGGUUGAAGAACCUUUUGAUUGGUUAACCAUACACGACUCUACGUGGCGCAGUUCUGUGGGCAAUCCUGAAGUGGGGUGCGGUGCAGUCGGGGGCAUUUAACUGUGCCACAUGUAGCCAUGUAGAUCCUCUCCUGAAAAGCCCCAAAAUCCCCCCACUCCUGUGGGCCUGCAUGCAUAAUAUUGCCAAGAUUUAUGCAAAAAAUUGAUGGCAAUUAGUCGUCGUCUUUUGGUUCGUUCUUUAUCUGACUCUGUGGCUCGGCGAGGGAACUCAGCUUGUUCGUUUAUACAUAUAUAUGUACAUAUCGAGGUAGGCACUAUGUUAGUGCAUAAUGAUUUUCGGUAUCAAAUUACAUUGGUUAGGGGUUUUUAGUAUGUACUUUACUUGCUGUUUGCUCUUGUCGUCGCUGCCGUCCUGUGUCUUCUGUCCCCAACCCCAGUUGUCUUCUCCUUCCUGCUUAAUUUGAUGCGCUCGUGCCGUCUUUAUUUUAUUCUCUUUUAGUCCGUCCAUAGCCAGUCCCCACUGUUCCAAUCCAUCGGAUGCUCCGCCUCUGGUGCAAAGCCAGGAUUUUCUUUAAAUCAAGCCUAAUAGCUGCUGAGUCUAGACCGAAACGAAAUUAUUUGCUAGCCCAAAAUGAUCACUAGCUGGUUUCGCGAUGGCAAUUAAGAAUUUGAAUGGAAAACUUAGAUCACGGUAAAUAAUUUUCUAUUUAAAAUGCUCAAAACAAUUUUCUUUAACAAUACUUAAGCUAAAAGCAAACUAACUGCAGUCUUAAAAUGACAGCUCAAAUCGAUAUUGAGCCCUAAUUAAUUUAGUACCACCAGGGGUAGCAGGUUCUUUUUAAACACUUUAAAUUUAUCAAAUAGAAUACUAUAGAUAAACUAAUUAAUUAUUUAUUUAGUGAGUAUAACAAUUCACUAAGCUAUUUAGGAUUUAUUUAUUAUUGAAUUGUCUCAAUUAGCUUUGGAAAAUCUGUAGUCUUUUCUUUAACACCAAAAAACCAAGAGGUCUAAACUAUUUACACCAUAAUGCUUAUUGGUUUUGUCACUGGCUGUGCAAAAUUAUAAUUAUAAGGUGUUCAAUAUUAACGGAAACCCACAAAGCCAAAAAAAA